rnacentral:rRNA from 1 species
GUGGGGAAUCUUCCGCAAUGGACGAAAGUCUGACGGAGCAACGCCGCGUGAACGAUGACGGCCUUCGGGUUGUAAAGUUCUGUUAUACGGGACGAAUGGUACGACGGUCAAUACCCGUCGUAAGUGACGGUACCGUAAGAGAAAGCCACGGCUAACUACGUGCCAGCAGCCGCGGUAAUACGUAGGUGGCAAGCGUUGUCCGGAAUUAUUGGGCGUAAAGGGCGCGCAGGCGGCGUCGUAAGUCGGUCUUAAAAGUGCGGGGCUUAACCCCGUGAGGGGACCGAAACUGCGAUGCUAGAGUAUCGGAGAGGAAAGCGGAAUUCCUAGUGUAGCGGUGAAAUGCGUAGAUAUUAGGAGGAACACCAGUGGCGAAAGCGGCUUUCUGGACGACAACUGACGCUGAGGCGCGAAAGCCAGGGGAGCAAACGGG